rnacentral:rRNA from 1 species
ACCACUGCAAGUCGUACGCUGAAAGCACCAACUUGCUGGUGUGGAUGAGUGGCGAACGGGCUGAUUAAUACGUGAGUAACCUGCCCUUGACUCUGGGAUAAGCCCGGGAAACUGGGUCUAAUACUGGAUGCUACAUGUCACCGCAUGGUGGUGUGUGGAAAGGGUUUACUGGUCUUGGAUGGGCUCACGGCCUAUCAGCUUGUUGGUGAGGUAAUGGCUCACCAAGGCGACGACGGGUAGCCGGCCUGAGAGGGUGACCGGCCACACUGGGACUGAGACACGGCCCAGACUCCUACGGGAGGCAGCAGUGGGGAAUAUUGCACAAUGGGCGAAAGCCUGAUGCAGCGACGCCGCGUGAGGGAUGACGGCCUUCGGGUUGUAAACCUCUUUCAGCAGGGAAGAAGCCACAAGUGACGGUACCUGCAGAAGAAGCGCCGGCUAACUACGUGCCAGCAGCCGCGGUAAUACGUAGGGCGCAAGCGUUGUCCGGAAUUAUUGGGCGUAAAGAGCUCGUAGGCGGUUUGUCGCGUCUGCUGUGAAAGCCCGGGGCUUAACCCCGGGUGUGCAGUGGGUACGGGCAGACUAAAGUGCAGUAGGGAAGACUGGAAUUCCUGGUGUACCGGU